rnacentral:tRNA from 1 species
GUGCCGUAGCCUAGUGGUUAAGGCGAUACACUAUAAAUCUCUUGAGAUAUUUUCGCGCAGGUUCGCAUCCUGCCGACGACG